AUUUCAGUAAUGAAACGUCUCAGGUGCGGCAUACAAUACAAACACGAAAGAAGGCUACUUGUAUUUUUAAAGUUUCGAUGUCAUAUGCAAACAGACAUAGUGUAUAAAGGUCAGCGUGCGGGGCUGAGCAUGACUAGUGCGUUAUGAAAAAACAUGUUCCACGGAAGAAGCCCACGGACGAGAACUCCCUACCACGUCUGCUGCAUGGCGUUUGUGAAAGCAGGGUCAGAGUUCUGGACUAUUGUAGCCACCGCGGCCCUGUUGCUUUUGAUUGUCUUGGCUGAAAGUGACGCCUACAGCCCUAUCCGCCACGCAGUGCAUCAAGGUGCACGUGCUCAAAGAGGACCAUACUUUAGUGGGAGAGGAAGCUAUUCGCUUCAGGUAAAAAAGUCACGUGGUGGUGUCUGUCACAGCACCAACGAAUGCAAAGAAGAAUACUGCUGUGUGGAACGACAGCAUGUGCAAACCUGCCAACCCUACUCAAUAUUCGGUGAAAGAUGCACAAUACCACAAAUUAGAGGCGGAGGCUACCACGAUGCAUGUCCCUGUGCAGCUGGAAACCAGGCGUGUCGAAACGACACAUGCUUGUAAUGACACUGCAAGUAAUCAUAAUGGAGUGUGUGCACGCAAAUGCAGCACCGCUAUGGGUAGGCACUCUCGAGUUAAGACUCUCGAGGAGCAGCGUGAAUGCGAGGAGCGGCGAAGGGGAAGAGAAAUGGCAAUACGACCAGCGGUUGCGUGCUGCCAAAAUUGCCAUUACUACCGUUACUGUGAUUACUCUAAAUUACCAUUAUUACCAUUACUCUAAAACAACACAACAUUGCAUGCCCCGUCUGCAGUUGUAAUGGUGGUUUUCAACAGCUUUGCUGGACAUCUACUAUCGUCGGGGUGGUACGGCGAGUCCAUUGUUUUCUUUAUUACAUGGAAAACCUCCCCCUCCUCCCAAAGAAAGAAACACUUCAAAGACAAUUAUUAAAAGAAACAGUCCUUAAAAGGCAGGCGAACUUAUACAAUUCACUACUAGUGGAUGGUGGGAACUUCUUGCGAAGGUUCCAUAGCAUUGCACGCCAAUUAUGAAACGAUCUGGGAAGUUACCGCAAAAAACACACGAGACGAAGACAGAUACAACAUGAAGUGGUACUGAUAACUGUUGACUCCAUGAAACGAACCCCGAGCUCCGAGAAAACCAGUAAAAGCACAGAGUGACCUUCAACAGGGAUGUGGUACAAAUGCUAAGACAAACGCUGAUGACUAAUGAGGCAUCGAACACAUGUUUAUCACGUGGAAAGAAACAAAAGUUCUUUCUGAGUAACAGCAACCGAUGGUGCACUAACGCAAUCACCUGUCCAAUCAGUAGCAUUUCCCACACAUUUUCAAAUCUGAAAGACCAUUUCUAUUGCUAACUGUAUUAUAGUUACAAGUCUAAUUUGUUUCUUGAGUGUUGUAACAGUUUAAUUGACGGUAUAUUUUCUUAACAGAGAAGCUGUUUAAGUCAGCCGUAAUUUGUGGUUCGUAUCAAGAGACUAUCAUCAUGAGCAAUAAAGAAAGAAAUAAACUUUCUUGGCAACGUGUAAUUCGAACACGCGUACCCACGGUCUCAAGGCGAGCGUCGUAACCACUAGGCUAUACAGCCACGCUUGCAGAACAUGCAUUUAUGCGAACUAUAUGAUUGCGUUCGAGCGUCGUCGUCUUCGUCCACCGCUGGCGCGUUCGCAAGUGCUCCUGCCAAUGCUCUGCGAGGUAAAGAAGAGAAGAAGUGAAGAGGAAGAAGGCUGUACCUAGCUAUUACCAAGUUCAACCUAUAGCUACACGAGUAUAGGCCUAGCUACAACCAAGUGUAAACCUCGACAUAACGUAGUUAGACCUAGCUACAACCAAGAGACGCAAUCAAUCGGCCCGCUUCGUUGUGUCUUGAGCUCUGCACGGCUUAGUGCAAGCUUUCGCCUUUUUCCAUGGCUAAACAAACAAGUUAAAAAACUAAUUUCAGUCUUUCAGUAUCCCUGCGUCUUUAUAUCAAAAAGCAUGCAGAAACUCUGCUGGAGUUGUGUAAGUAUGCGCAAGCGUAGCCCCAAAUUUUAUUUGGUCCACCCCAAAAUAUCAAGUUGGCCCACCCCUAAAUUUCAAGCUUGCCCACCUCCAAAUUUCAAGUUGGCCCACUCCUAAAUAUCAGUAGGCCUGCCCCUGAAUUCAAGUUAGGCCAUGCUUAAAUUUCAAGCUGGCCCACUCCCAAAUUUUAGUUGGCUCACCCCCAUAUUCAAGUUGACACCCUUAAAUUUCAAGCUGGCCCACGCCCAAAUUUAGGUUGGCCGAGCCUCAAAUUUCAAGUUGGCGCACCCCAAAAUUUAAAUAGGCCCACUCCCAAAUUCAAGUUGCCCCACCCCAAAUUUCAGUUCGCCCACCUCGAAAUUUCAAGUGUGGCCAACCCAAAAUCUAAGUUGGCCCAAGCCAAAAUUUUAAGUUGCCCCCCCC